UGGAAUCGCUAAUGACCACGGUUA
rnacentral:siRNA from 1 species